rnacentral:rRNA from 1 species
AGUGAACGCUGGCGGUAGGCCUAACACAUGCAAGUCGAACGGCAGCACAGUAAGAGCUUGCUCUUACGGGUGGCGAGUGGCGGACGGGUGAGGAAUACAUCGGAAUCUACUUUUUCGUGGGGGAUACGUAGGGAAACUUACGCUAAUACCGCAUACGACCUACGGGUGAAAGCAGGGGAUCUUCGGACCUUGCGCGAUUGAAUGAGCCGAUGUCGGAUUAGCUAGUUGGCGGGGUAAAGGCCCACCAAGGCGACGAUCCGUAGCUGGUCUGAGAGGAUGAUCAGCCACACUGGAACUGAGACACGGUCCAGACUCCUACGGGAGGCAGCAGUGGGGAAUAUUGGACAAUGGGCGCAAGCCUGAUCCAGCCAUACCGCGUGGGUGAAGAAGGCCUUCGGGUUGUAAAGCCCUUUUGUUGGGAAAGAAAAGCAGCAGGUUAAUACCCCGCUGUUCUGACGGUACCCAAAGAAUGAGCACCGGCUAACUUCGUG